AUGUUGGUGCGUGCGAGGGCCUACCGGAGGUGGCACAGGACUUCGGGGAGGGGGCAGGGGUGCCCCUUCGUUGCAUCGGGCGGUUGCUCUAUGUGGCUGCCGGAGUUCCCCUGGCCCAGAUCUGGCCGCCGAGGCCACCAACCCUGCCAAGGUGUCCACUAUGGGGUGGAAGGCGGGUCUUUUGCCCCUUCCCGGUGGACCGCGUCAGUAUAUGGUUUAUCCGUGGACGACGGUUCGGUCACCAUGGCCGUGUGGGCGGCAUGGUGGUCGGGGUGUGUCGUUCAAUGGAGGGGGUGCGGUAGUUCAUACCCCAAUUUGGCGACGGUGAGUGUUGGCCAGGGAAAAACCCGAUCUGACUUGUCAAGCCGACGGCGGCGGUGUUCUAUCGUCGUCCCCUUCUUGAAAGCGUCGUCGCGGUAUCUCACUUGCCGCUGUGGUGCUCUGGGGAAACCCUAA
rnacentral:rRNA from 1 species